rnacentral:rRNA from 1 species
CACCAAGGCGAUGAUGCAUAGCCGGGCUGAGAGGCUGAACGGCCACAUUGGGACUGAGACACGGCCCAUACUCCUACGGGAGGCAGCAGUAGGGAAUUUUCGGCAAUGGGGGAAACCCUGACCGAGCAACGCCGCGUGAGUGAUGAAGGUCUUCGGAUUGUAAAGCUCUGUUGUAAGGGAAGAGUGAAUUGGAUAGAAUCCGAUUGUGACGGUACCUUACCAGAAAGCUACGGCUAACUACGUGCCAGCAGCCGCGGUAAUACGUAGGUAGCGAGCGUUAUCCGGAAUUAUUGGGCGUAAAGGGUGCGUAGGCGGCUUGUUAAGUUUAAGGUGAAAGAAUGGGGCUCAACCCCAUAAAGCCUUAGAUACUGGCAAGCUAGAGUACUGGAGAGGGUAGUGGAAUUCCAUGUGUAGCGGUAAAAUGCGUAGAUAUAUGGAGGAACACCGGUGGCGAAGGCGGCUACCUAGACAGAGACUGACGCUGAGGCACGAAAGCGUGGGGAGCAAAUAGGAUUAGAUACCCUAGUAGUCCACGCCGUAAACGAUGAAUGCUAGAUAUCGGGGCAACUCGGUGUCGAAACUAACGCGAUAAGCAUUCCGCCUGUGGAGUAUGCACGCAAGUGUGAAACAUAAAGGAAUUGACGGGGGCCCGCACAAGCGGUGGAGUAUGUGGUUUAAUUCGACGCAACGCGAAGAACCUUACCAGGCCUUGACAUCCCUUGCAAAACUCUAGAGAUAGAGCAGAGGUUAUCAAGGUGACAGGUGGUGCAUGGUUGUCGUCAGCUCGUGUCGUGAGAUGUUGGGUUAAGUCCCGCAACGAGCGCAACCCUUGUCUUCAGUUACCAUCAUUAAGUUGGGGACUCUGGAGAGACUGCCGGUGAUAAACCGGAGGAAGGUGGGGAUGACGUCAAAUCAUCAUGCCCCUUAUGGCCUGGGCUACACACGUACUACAAUGGCUGUUACAACGUGAAGCAACACUGUGAAGUGAAGCGAAUCACUAAAAGGCAGUCUCAGUUCGGAUUGAAGUCUGCAACUCGACUUCAUGAAGUUGGAAUCGCUAGUAAUCGCGGAUCAGCAUGCCGCGGUGAAUACGUUCUCGGGCCUUGUACACACCGCCCG